rnacentral:rRNA from 1 species
UACGUAGGGGGCAAGCGUUGUCCGGAAUCAUUGGGCGUAAAGAGCGUGUAGGCGGUCCGGUAAGUCGGCUGUGAAAGUCCAGGGCUCAACCCUGGGAUGCCGGUCGAUACUGCCGGACUAGAGUUCGGAAGAGGCGAGUGGAAUUCCCGGUGUAGCGGUGAAAUGCGCAGAUAUCAGGAGGAACACCGGUGGCGAAGGCGGGUCUCUGGGCCGAUACUGACGCUGGAGGAGCGAAAGCGUGGGGAGCGAACAGG